UUUGUGAACACAAAAAAACAAUGGUAAAACAUAUAGAGCGUGUUUGGUUCAAAGUCGGAAUCGAAAUCAGAAUCAAAAUCGAAAUAAGCUAGAAUCGGAAUUGGAAUAACUCAUUACCUAAUUCUGUUUGCUUCAUCAGAAGAAUCGGAAUCAGAAUAAAUCAUUCUUAUUGUCGGUGCAUGGUUCAGAUAGAUAUAAAAAACGUAAUCAAAUUAAUAUACUAAUUUUAUUUUUAUAAUAUAUUAAUUUAAAUUUAAAUUGAAAAUUAAAUAUUAAAAAUUUGCAUCAAAAUUUUGAAGUAAUGUCAAACUUUCAAAUCUAUUUUUUUUAUAAAAAAAAUUAAAAUUUGAAGUUGAGUGGAUAAUUCAAAAUAUAAAACUAAAUUUCGAUUUAUUCAAAUUUAAACUUAAAAUUACAAUUUAAAUUUUAAUUUGAAUCCAUAAAUUUAAUUUAAGUUUUAAAUCAAAUUUGAAUAAAACUUUAUAUAAAUUAAAAUUUAAUUUAAAUUCAAAUUCAUAAGUUAGAUUUGAAAUACUUGAUUAAAUUUUAAUUUUUAAUUCAAGUUCAAAUUAAAAUUUAAAAUUAUAUAUUUAAUUUUUGAACUUAAACUCAAAUUUUAAUUAAAAAAGUUGAAAAAAUAAAUUUAAUCUCAAUAUCCAUUCAGUCCGGAUAACUUUCAAUUUGGUCUUCUAGAUCGGAUUGGAAAAAGAGGUGAUUGGAGGAUUUCCAUUCCAUUCGGGAAUGGAAAUCAGAAUGGAACUCCCGCGUACUAAACACCCACAAACAAAUUCGCCCAUUCCGAUUCCGAUUUCAGGGUGAAAAAGAAACGAACCAAACACGCCAAUAGUUUCUUGUGUUAUCAAGAAUUGU
rnacentral:lncRNA from 1 species